rnacentral:lncRNA from 1 species
UCAUCAUUUGGCUGAAGUUGCAGCUCAUGUUGCAAUGACAUUAGUUCCUUCCUGCAAAAUUGAACUGUGGUGGUAAUAUUGCCAAAGGUAUUUGUAUUCCACUCCUUUAGUGCUGCUUUACAGGCUUUGAGCUUUUGACAUAAGAUGUAAGGGGGGGAUCCAUGCACAUUAACAUUCCAAGCAGAUCUGAUAACAUCAAG